GGGGAGUACCUCUACACAUUCAAAAAUUUGAAUACAGAGAAAAGUAUGGCCCCUGUGCAAGGAUGACAUGCAAAAUCAUGAAGCAUUCCAUAUUUUU
ensembl:snRNA U6 U6 spliceosomal RNA